UAUACUCCAGCCUGGGUGACAGAGUGAGACUCCGUCUCAAACAAAACAAAACAAACCAUAAAAAUAAAACAACAACAACAACAAAAGCAACUAAAGAGCAGCAAAUGCUAAAAUCUUAGAUAUUAGAAUGUCCUGAAUGUGUUUUAUCAUGCCUGUAUGUGUUUAGCACUUCAAGAGUUCAGAAAAUAAAAUUAAAGAGCCAUGAUCAGAUGAACUUGGUUACUUUUGCUCUCUAAGAUGAGACACACACGCCAGUGAAUUACCUCUGUGCUUGUUUUAAAAAUGCAGUGUUCUAGGCCUAAUAUUCAUAGAUUCCCAUCUAUCAGUUUUGUGUUACAGUCUAAAAAUACGUAUUUUUGACAAUUUCCUAGGUGAUUCUAAUGCAGUUGGUCUAUGAACCAACUGGAACAGGGGUAAAUAGAAGUGAAAUGGCAACUUUUCAUUUCCUGUUACUAAUAGCAUUGUUUGCAAAACUGGCAGAAAGAAAAGUACUCCUUCGGGCAGUAUGCUUUUAUAGAUUAACAGAAGCAUUGCACCAGCUGAACAAAUUUAGAUCCUGACUUCAGCACAGUCUGGGGCAUAGUUAACAAAAUAAUUGUGAUGCCUCUACUAUCACAUUAAUGGGCCAAACCAAUAAACUGGCUAUAAUUGAGUCUGGAAAUUCUGGUGGUGAGAUUCAAUUGAAUUCAGAUUGAAAUUAUUUAAAUUGCUUGAGGGCUAAAUAGUCUUGUAUAUUAUAUUCAUAAUUCUAUGCAUAGUUAUUAUCCACAAUGAAAGCUAGGUAAUUUUUCCACUGUAACAUAACAUAAGAUAAAAUGGAACUUGCUUAGAUUUGAUUAGCAAAAACUCAUUUUUUUCUCGCUUGGCUCUUCAAAACAUUUAUACUGCUAAACUGUCAUUUUCCACACAUUGUAGGAAUUGUGACAAUUGGAGAGGAAAAGAAAAUUUGUACUGUCUCUGAGAAUUUCUUGAGGAUGUGCGAAUCUACUGAGCUGAACAUGACCUUCCACUUGUUUAUUGUGGCGCUUGCUGGAGCUGGGGCAGCAGUCAUUGCUAUGGUUCACUACCUUAUGGUUCUGUCUGCCAACUGGGCCUAUGUGAAAGACGCCUGCCGGAUGCAGAAGUAUGAAGACAUCAAGUCGAAGGAAGAGCAAGAGCUUCAUGACAUCCACUCUACUCGCUCCAAAGAGCGGCUCAAUGCAUACACAUAAAUGCGUCUUCCUGUUCUUUCUACGAUUUGAAUGCAUUGGUGUUUAACUAAGGGCCAUCCAACCAUCCAACCUUUAAAAAACAAAACGAAAGUGCUUCUCAUCAAUGAUAUGUAAGGUGACUUAUGAAUCACCUGAGUACAAUUCUUUGUUGUUUAGCACUUAAAUUUCCCAAUUUAUUAAAUUGAUGUAAAUCAGAUCUUUUCUACAAGCUCCUAUCCAGCCUUUUUUUUGAAAUUUCUCAAACUCAUUUACUAGUUCUGUAAAAUCAAAGAUACUAACAUUGUCAAAUGCAAAGAUUUGUUUGAUUUUUAACCACUUCCCAUGUGUUAUACAUAACACCUUUUGCAUUAUUUCUUAUGUUUUGAAAAGAAAAUAGCUUUUUAUACUUUUUAGUUUUGAUUUCGGUAACUAGUUUAACUACAGGUAACCUUCAAAGGGACCAUUGUACAUUAUGAACAAUAGAUAGAGAUGACAUCAUGAUGACUCUUGAAAUACGGAAAUUUUGUCUGAAGAUCAGUGGCCAUAUUACUAUAGGCCCUGGUUCAUGUUUUCAUCAAUCUAAGGUGCAAUUUCUAAAUUUGUAAGAGUAGGUUUAAAAAAAAAGUGCUUCUUAUCUUUGUUAACAUUGUACUUUUUCUUGAUGUUCUUAAAAGGUAUUUCCCUCAGAUUACUCAUGUUUAUGUUGUGAGCAUGUAGAAACAGUAAUGCUAAUGCAUGGCUAGUUGCCUUUUUAAGAUUGUGACACCAGGCUUACCUUUUAAAGUUUAGUAUAUAGAGACAAUUUUAAUGGAAAUAACUACUGUAGACUAUUGAAGAAUGAUCUCUUUGUGAUUUAAGAAGUGGCUGGAUUGGAACUUUUAAUAUGCUAAUGUGGAAAAUUAAUUACCUUUAUGAAGGUGGUUUAUUACAAAUAAGCACACUAACCCCUCGGAAGUUGUUUUACCUACUUUAAAAGUUUUAAUGGAUUGCACCUCUGUAAACUAUUCCUAAAAUGUGUAUGAUAUAUUUGAAAAGGCUUCCAUUAAUAUAAUAGCUUUGCUUGCAGCCUUCCAAUCUAUGUUGGUUUACCUGUAGUGUUUUCUAAAGUGUGGUCAGAGGCCCCUAUAGAAUGUAUUGUUUGAAAGUGUAGUGAUAUAUUUGUGUUUUUAUUUCAAGUAAGUCAUUUUAACCGAAUGUUCAUUCAUAUUCAUUUAUAAAAAGUACCUGUAUCAAAGGAAUUUUAAAAAAGAGCAAUCAGUAUUAUUGGACCAAAUUUGGUGUUUGUUUUAACCUUGACUCUCUUCUUUUGAUUAUUUCUAAUGCUACAAGAAUGCUGUAAAGUGUCCUCUAAAAUGAUGUAGCCUGACAAGACGUUUUUGUCAGUGUAUAAAACUAGGUAGUAUUGUGCACUGAUUUGACCAUUGUGAAAUCCUUUCUCAGUGUAACUGCAUUUCUAAUAAAAAUUUAUUGAGUGAAACGA
rnacentral:sRNA from 1 species